rfam:Camelus ferus unplaced genomic scaffold scaffold98824, whole genome shotgun sequence.
GAGGGUAUAGCUCAGUGGCAGAGUGGGUACUUAGCAUGCGCAAGGUCCUGGGUUCAAUUUCCAGUACCUCCA